AAAUUGAAGAGUUUGAUCAUGGCUCAGAUUGAACGCUGGCGGCAGGCCUAACACAUGCAAGUCGAGCGGAAACGAGUUAUCAGAACCUUCGGGAGACGAUAACGGCGUCGAGCGGCGGACGGGUGAGUAAUGCCUAGGAAAUUGCCCUGAUGUGGGGGAUAACCAUUGGAAACGAUGGCUAAUACCGCAUGAUGCCUACGGGCCAAAGAGGGGGACCUUCG
rnacentral:rRNA from 1 species